GGACACAGUUACCAUGCUGCUCUGUCCAGGUUUGCCUCGUCAGCAGGUCUAGCCCACUGGCUUCUAUUUGUCUAUUAAAUUCAACGUCACGUUGCGUGUUUCUGGAUAUAUUGAAGCCAGGUCUAACACGGUCAACAGAGUCUGUGAUCUAACAGCAGCUUACCCUCCUGGUCUGGGUCGGCCUCCUCCUGCACGGACAGAGGUAGAGGAAUGAAGUACAGACAGCAAAGCAGCGGAAAGAGAACACCGUUUCCACCACGGACAUUACGAUGAGCGGCACCCACAGAAUGAACAUGGUCCCCUGGUUGACAAAAAAAAUAAAAAUAAAAUAAAGACGACA